GCCUGGGUGGCUCAGUGGGUAAGGCAUCUGACUUUGGCUCAGGUCAUGAUCUCGCAGUUCGUGGGUUCGAGCCCUGCAUUUGGCU
rnacentral:tRNA from 1 species